rnacentral:rRNA from 1 species
CCCUUAGACGUUCUGGGCCGCACGCGCGCUACAAUGAUGAAUUCAACGAGUUUAUAACCUUGGUUGAAAAGCCUGGGUAAUCUUUUGAACUUUCGUCGUGAUGGGGCUAGACCCUUGCAAUUAUUGGUCUCCAACGAGGAAUUCCUAGUAAACGCAAGUCAUCAGCUUGCAUUGAUUACGUCCCUGCCCUUUGUACACACCGCCCGUCGCACCUACCGAUUGAAUGGUCCGGUGAAAUCUUCGGAUUGAGACUUUGAUUUCUUCACGGAAAACGCUGUUUUAAAAAGUUGAUUAAACCUUACCAUUUAGAGGAAGGUGAAGUCGUAACA